AUUAUGUUAGUUUUGCUGCAAAGAGCUCUUGGCAUCAUUAUUUUUGACAUUUGGCAGGAGGAAGUUCAACCACACCAUUCCUAACAAAUCCCUUCCCCUUAGCGAAGGCCCAUCCUGUGGAGGAGGAGCCCAAUGUACCCCAUGCUCUGUCACUAGCUGGACAUUUACCUUUUACUGCCCAACAGGGGUUACAGUAUAUUAGGAGUUUCUGUGCUGUGUGGGGCUCUUUAGCAAACUUUGGUUCGGAAGCCGGGGAUCCCCUCUAAAGAUGUGAAAGUGUUUACUGAUUAAAGUUAUUUUGUGGAGGGUUUACAUGGCCUUUAAAUCCACUGAAUCGAGGGGAAGGUUUAAAUAAAUGUGUUAAUAGCUUUUAAAAAUCCCUAAAACAAUUAAUUAGAAAAUAUUGAAAGAUGUUUGUAACUACUAAAAGUAAAUAGUCAAAAUAAGAGAUAACUGAGGCAGCACCUUGGCAUUUCUUUCUGAUGGGGAUUCCUUGCUAUUGGCUAAUGUCAAAAGAGGAUAAACAGAAGUUAAUGACUGUGCCUGUCUAUCCUCUCCUUUCUCCCUACUUGUUGGCAGUUCAGCCAUGUUUUGCUCUAAGUAAAGCUUGUUCCACUACAGCUGCUGUGACCUCUUUUAUAAUACCGAGUCCAGAAUCCAACAACAUGGCGGCUUAUAACUACCAGACUGUGAUUGGGCAGACUCUGCUCUGUUCCGCACCCAGAUACAGAGCCCAGACAGCCAAAUAUUAUGAAGCAAAUCAUCAUGUGGGUAUUUUGAUGGAUGGAAAGUGUCUGAGAACUCUCUGAAUCUGGCAUCGUACUGGUUGUCUAAUCUAUUCUGCAUGAAUAAUACAGUGCCAGAAGGCAACAACAGAUUGCAGAGGAGCAGCAAGAGGAGCCACCUGUUCCACUGAUGCCUGCUAGGAUCAGACAACCUUAUCAAUUCUGGAGGCCUGUAGCAUCCUUUGACAAUCUGAGAUGUUGAGGAUGUAUUGCCUGAGCUGUGCCACCAUCCCCAAGGCCUAUGGUCUCAUUAGCCAGGACCUGGAACCUGUGAUGUGUGGUCUCAGGCCCUGCCCAAGAUCUGCAAACAUCUUGCUGUCUUGCAUUUCCAGGGCAGUAGCUGUUUCCAUCUCUGCACACCAUGUCGGUAUGAGCCCACCUUCAGCAGGAUACUAAGCUGGAUAAGACUGGAGAGUGGAUAAGAUAAAAGCGAGAUUUUUACCUCAUUGGCAAUUUUCAGAAUUACCUGGGACCCACUGACUGCGCUCAUAUUCCUCUCACACCACCUAGUCGCCAUCAGCAGCGACACCAUACUAGGGAGCAUUCCCAUUAUAUCAACAUCCAGUUGGUGUGUGAUUCCCACCUGUGGCUCAUGAGUGUGAGAUCUGGUUUUUCCAGAAGUAUCCAUGGCUUCACUAUAUUGCGUCAGUCAAAUCUACACGACCAGUUUUUUUACCUUUCUUUUCCUGCAACAGAACUCUCCUGUCUUUUUGGUUCCCUUUCAUUACUGCCUCCUCCAGAACUUUCUCACCAUAACCUCUGGAUUGAAAUUGGGCACUCAUCUCCUUCACCCUUGCUUCCAAACCCCUCUCUGCACUAACAAUCCUCUUGACUCUCAAAAGCUGACUAUAUGGUUUUCCCUUUAUAAGUGAAGGGGGAUGAAAGCUAUUAGGGUUAAGGCGAGUCACUUUGUCCAACUAAGUGUGUCCAACUAGUCCUUGAACUCAAUCAAUAUACCCUCUGUACCCUGCCAAACAAAGAAGAGGUCCUCUAUAUAACGCAGCCAAAGCAGAACACAUCAAUUCCAUAUACAAACUGAUCCUCAAACCAGGCCAUAAACAGCACUGGGGCUACAUUAGAGCCUAUCGACGUGCCUUGGUUUUGCUCAUAGAAUUUGCCCUCAAAAAACCUCUAAUUCAUAAGCAUCUCUGGUACAUCAAGAGGCAGAUCAAGGUUGGCCAGAACCCCACCAAUCACCUCCAUACAUUGUUUGUGCUGGGAGUGACAUGUACAGUGAAGUCAUGUUCAUUGUGCACAGAUAUCCCCAUUUCUCACCUGUACCGUAUCCAGUUUGUUAAUAAAAUCAGUAGUGUCCUUAACAUAGGACUAAGUACCCACCACCACUGGUUUACUUUAUCAAUUUCCCUAUUCAAUUUAAAUUAUAGAAAUGUAUUUUUUUAAGAAUGGAAAUUACUUUAAUUGGAAGAAAUCUAUUGACUAUAAUAUCUGCUUUAAUUCCAGUUUUCGUAGUUUAUUUGGAGCUGCUCUACCCCAUAUAAACAUCAUCAUCAUGGAACGUGCAGUUUCCAACAUAUUUAUUUCCAUAUACAAUGCCAAGUAUUUCAGAAGUUCUAUGUACCUACUGCUGGCCUGGUGUAUGGGGCAUGAGUUAUAGGGACAACAGAACUAAACAGAACAAUCUCUGUGAGGCACAGUGUCACCCUGUCAGAGCUAUAUACAUGAAAGGGUAAUAACAAUAGAAUAUUCUCUCUCUAUAACACAGGGGGGAAAUAAAAGGCUUUACCUGCCCCAGAUAAACCCAACGUGAUACUGUGUUUCUCUGUUAUCCCUGCUCUGCUUCAUUGCAUUUGUAUCACAUGAGACUUACUUAUCACAAACCAAUACAGUCUGCUCAGUAAAGGUACCUCUGACACCAACAGUCAGCACUCCUCCCAUCA